GCGGCUGUGGCGCAAUUGGCAGACGCACUGGUCUCAGACACCAGUUUUUGAAGGUUCAAGUCCUUCCAGCCGUACCA
rnacentral:tRNA from 1 species